GGUGGAGAGGGGAUAUGAUGAUUCAUGCUUGGUUCGAUGUAACUCGGGCCUUUCCUCGCCGCUUGACAUCCACAAUUAAAGCUAUUUGUGGUACACGACAAACAAACACAGCACCGUCUAUAUUCAGUCUUAUCCAUACUAAUCAUUCUAGUUUUUUUUUUUUUUCACACCACAUUUCAGUUUAUAGCAAAGGAAAAGUAAUUUUGGGCUGAUGAUCUGAAAAACCUUCACCCGUCCAAGAUAGCUAGGCCAAGAUUCCUGUUAGAAAAUGAUGGCCAAUGAAGCAGAUCACAAUCCCUUAUAUAACCCAUGUGCAUUUUGUGCUAUUUCUUCCGAUGUGACUUGGAAAUGUAGGUGUGGCAGCUGGCAGCUGCCUCAGGGAAUGGGCAAAGCACACUGUUUAAUUGGGUUUGGCUGUAACGGGGGAAUCUUUUCUGAGGGAACUGAUAACUACAGAUGAUGCAUCAUAGUUUGGUAUCAUUUGAGACAUGAAAUCAAGUUCUUGGUUCUUUUUGAAGCUGUUGAGGACAUCCCUUCCCAGUUUUAAUUUCUUUGAUGUGAACUAUACAUGCAGUGUCUCUUUCGCAAGCUCCUUGCUUCAAUGCUCUUUAGGAUAGUAUUAUCCAAACGAGAUUAACUUGUUGUUUGUCAUGACUUGUCAAGAAUAUGCAACCUUAUGUCUGGCCCUGUCUACUGCAUUAAUAUUCUGAAAGGAACUGGUAAUCUGGUGUCUGGACCACAAAUUAGUGUUUAAUGGUGAUACAGUUAUGCCCAUUAAGUUAAAUUUCAGUGAAUAUCAUCGGAUUAUAGCAUCUCAAGAACCAAACAGGAAUUCCAGAAUUUGAAUGUAUGCGGAUGUGAUCUUGAGGAAAGGAAGGAUUUCGUGUUGUUCAUUUCCUGUGGCAUUACUCCCUGGCGCGAAGAAAGGUAUUGGGUGAAAGAUACCAAAAAUAAAGCAAAGAUCUUCGCUGAGAAGUGAUAACUCUCCUGAUGGACCUGAUAACAGAGAAUUUGCCAUAAAUGGAUCAAGUCCUGGUAAAGUAACCAAUCAAUUGAUGAUUCAUGCUUCAAGCAGUGUGUAACAGGAUGAUUAAACAUUUCGCAGCAAAUAGUCGACUUGGAACUUGGAAGCUACCUGCAACAAUUUCUGUGCCUAUUCAAUGGCAUAUCAAGAAAAAGCAAGAUUACCAAUAACCUUGACCGAUCCUGAUGGAGAGAAGUAGUGCUGCUGAUUCGGCAAUUAGGUGAUAAAAACUUCCUCUUUAUUUUUCAUUUUCUUUUCCCUGAUAGGAAAGGACAUUAAUUUUAGUUCUAAAAGGCUAGAGAAGUGGAGUUUCACAUCAUGCAGGCACUUCCUCCAUGGCUGUUGAGGAUUCUUUCACAGAAAUAUUAGUGGCUUACUGGCCUUUCCGUAUGGGUCCAGUGCAUUGAUCUUUUUGGCCUUUACACCGGUAACAAAAAAAAUAUUAAUAAUAAAAAUAAAAAUGAUUUAAAAUAAUAGAGAUAAUAGUCCAUUGUAGAGAGUUUCAAAUUAAAUAUCUAUCACAUCUUAUGUUAAGAAGACUAUCUUAUCGUAUUUUGAUACGAGUAAUUUUUCAAGGAAUUAUUAACUAUAUUUAUUUAAAAAAGUGAUUUGUACAAUAAUUUUAUAUUCUAUGUUAUAAAUUAUAGACAAAAAAAUAACUUCUGAUAUAUAUUGCAUCUCUAAUUAAACUUGGAGAAGGAUUUUUAGAAGGCCCAGAAGAUGUUUGUAUGGACAGAAAGGGUCUGCUGUACAAGAUUGCAUAAGAAUGGAUCCUGGGAGAAUUGGAAGUAGAUAGAGAGCGAUGCCUUACUUGGUAUCACAACCUCCAAGGAAGGUGGUCUUAUCUUGUCAUUUGUGAUGCUAAAAUGGGUUUGCUUGAAGUUACUGAAGAUGGAGUAACAGUUCUUGCAUCACACAUUAUUGGGUCUGAAAUAAGAUCCUCACAUAUGAGAUUUCUCCUAGAUAAAAAUUGAUAAAGUCCUUCGUGGAUAGCCUGCAGUAACUGAUAUGCUUAAACUGUUCAACGUAGUCCUUCUCACGGGCAAUUGCUCAAGUAUGAUCCCUUUUUGAAUGAGACCUCAAUUCUGCUUGAUGAUAUGUGCUUCCCAGCCCAAUGGUGUUGCUCUCUCAAGGGAAGAAGAUUUUCUGGUCUUUUGUGGAACUUGGAAAUUUAGGUGCCAAAAAUAUUGGCUCAUGGGCAAGAAGAAAGGCAAAACAGAAAUUUUUGGUAAUUGUAGGUGUCUCAUCAUUAGGAGUCGUUUGCUUAUGCAAUAUGCUUUUGUUGAAAACAUGUGUGUACAACUAUUUGGAUCAAUCUGGGCCACUUAUUAGGUUGAAUCUUGAUGCAUAGUUGCCUA